UGUUGAUGUUAAAGUUAAAAAUUUUGGCAUUUAAGCUACAGUAUACUACAAAAAACGACAUUUUAGUAGCUACAAAGUUAUUAAAAAAAAAAAAGUUAGUUUCUUAUUCGUAAUUCUUAUCUCUUCAGACUGUCCCUCUAUCUCUCUCUCCGUCUCACUUUGUUCUCUCUCUUUGCUUGUAUUCUUACUGACACUUCAUCACCCAACUUCAUUUCUCCUUAGGAAAGGGUUUGGAGCAAGAUCCACUCACUUGAUCAUCCCACACAUACCCAUUUCGGCUCCACCAAGAUAACUUUGCUUCAAUAGAUCUAACCCAGCCACAAACCCACUGAACAGACCCGCUAUCGCCGGCGCUACACACAGCUAAUCAAACUGCAAACUCAUUUCAUCUUCGUCCUUCGUCUGAGGGAG